rnacentral:rRNA from 1 species
GACGAACCGUGCGAACGUUAUUCGGAAUCACUGGGCUUAAAGCGCGUGUAGGCGGGUCGGUGCGUCGGCCGCUGAAAUCCCCCGGCUCAACCGGGGAAGGGGCGCCGAUACGACCGGCCUGGAGCGACGUAGGGGGGACUGGAACUUCCGGUGGAGCGGUGAAAUGCGUUGAGAUCGGAAGGAACGCCCGUGGCGAAAGCGAGUCCCUGGACGUCGGCUGACGCUGAGACGCGAAAGCCAGGGGAGCGAACAGG